rnacentral:rRNA from 1 species
AGGGCACCACCAGGAGUGGAGCCUGCGGCUUAAUUUGACUCAACACGGGAAAACUCACCCGGCCCGGACACCGUAAGGAUUGACAGACUGAGAGCUCUUUCUUAAUUCGGUGGGUGGUGGUGCAUGGCCGUUCUUAGUUGGUGGAGCGAUUUGUCUGGUUAAUUCCGAUAACGAACGAGACUCUGGCCUAUUAAAUAGACGGUAUAUUUAAAAGUAUAUCGCGCUUCUUAGAGGGACAAGCGGCGUCUAGCCGCAUGAAAUAGAGCAAUAACAGGUCUGUGAUGCCCUUAGAUGUCCGGGGCUGCACGCGCGCUACACUGAAAGAAUCAGUGGGCGUGGUACCUAGUUCGGAAGAACCGGGUAACCCAAGUAAAUUCUUUCGUGCUUGGGAUAGGGAAUUGCAAUUAUUUCCCUUAAACGAGGAAUUCCCAGUAAAUGCGGGUCAUAAGCUCGCGUUGAUUACGUCCCUGCCCUUUGUACACACCGCCCGUCGCUACUACCGAUUGGAUGACUUAGUGA